rnacentral:rRNA from 1 species
UACAGAGGGUGCGAGCGUUGUCCGGAAUCACUGGGCGUAAAGGGCGCGUAGGCGGCCUGAUAAGUAGGGGGUGAAAUCCUGUGGCUUAACUGCAGGGCUGCCUCCUAGACUGUUAGGCUCGAGCACGGUAGAGGCAGAUGGAAUUCCCGGUGUAGCGGUGGAAUGCGUAGAGAUCAGGAAGAACACCGGUGGCGAAAGCGCUCUGCUGGACCUUAACUGACACUGAGGGACGAAAGCUAGGGGAGCGAAUGGG